rnacentral:rRNA from 1 species
UAGGGAAUCUUCGGCAAUGGACGAAAGUCUGACCGAGCAACGCCGCGUGAGUGAAGAAGGUUUUCGGAUCGUAAAACUCUGUUGUUAGAGAAGAACAAGGACGUUAGUAACUGAACGUCCCCUGACGGUAUCUAACCAGAAAGCCACGGCUAACUACGUGCCAGCAGCCGCGGUAAUACGUAGGUGGCAAGCGUUGUCCGGAUUUAUUGGGCGUAAAGCGAGCGCAGGCGGUUUCUUAAGUCUGAUGUGAAAGCCCCCGGCUCAACCGGGGAGGGUCAUUGGACACUGGGAGACUUGAGUGCAGAAGAGGAGAGUGGAAUUCCAUGUGUAGCGGUGAAAUGCGUAGAUAUAUGGAGGAACACCAGUGGCGAAGGCGGCUCUCUGGUCUGUAACAGACGCUGAGGCUCGAAAGCGUGGGGAGCAAACAGG